UUGUAAUUGGCGCUUUCGCACUGCUGUCAACGCACGCAAAAUGCGGGAGGAUCCCAGCAGGAAAGGAACUCCAGUGUUUAGGACCAAGGGUCGGCCAGCCGUAGUGAAGUAAAUAAAAUGCGGAACGACCAAGUUGCCAGAUUUGGAGAUAAAGGAGGUCACAGAAAAAGUGAGGCUGAAGUCCUGGAGAGAUUUGAAAUCGAAAUGAGAAUGUUAAACUGAAGCACUGCCAAACCGAAGCCAUUAUGGACAGUGGGGACAAAUGACUGGCAACUGGCAGGAGACUGGAUACGAAGGAUAAGGUCGCAUUCAGCAAAUGAGAAGAGCGAACUAACAAUCAGCAACAAGACUUUUGCCUCACUCGUUACUUCCUAAGAACAUCUGGAUUGCAAAACCAUCAGGAUCUAACACCACUCCCCCCAAGAUUCUACCACGUCCACACACAUAGGGGAAAUGUACAGUGGACAAAUAAUCUACUCAUCUUUGGGAUGUGGGAGGAAGUCCAAACAGCCACUGGAAGAAUGUAGAAACUCCCAUCCACACAGAUAUCACUCAUGGUCCGUAUAGAUCAACUCCCACUCACCUGCUAUUUGUUCAGAGCCCCAAAUUUGGAAUCUUCUUGCUCAGUGCAUUGAAAAAAAUUCAGGAAACCCCUUUAAAACAAAAGUAACAGCCCUAUAUUUGAACCCUUGUAUCAUUCUUCAAGUGCCUCCAAGAGGACCUCAACCUUGUUGUGGUUUGGAGGUUUAUGUGCCUCAAUAACCCAGAGAGCUAUGGUUGCUGGAGUUGGGGCUUUAUGCUUUGGCUGUUGGUAGGGUCGCCAUGCCAAACAAGUCAAGGGGUAGAGGCCAGACUAAGAGUGGUCCACCUGUCCUCUAGAUUCAGGGGUUCAGCUCAGGGCUAACAACCCUGACUGGUAAAACAAAACUGCUAUGGAAACUGCAAUGAAGAAUCCUUCUACAUCUGAGUGUGCUGGUGUUCCUGAGUCUUUAAUGGAACUUGCAUGACUGACAGUGGGAGAACCAAGCUACUGACACGAUGAAGGAAGCCCUGGACACCGUUAGAGAUGGAGAACCUCCACUGCUGCCCUAAACACCAGCAGCAUAGCGGGCAGUAGAGAGAUUCUUCAAGUGACAAUGAACAUCCAUAACUUCUGCUUUGUUCCCAGCCUGAAGCUGGGAUUGGGCGCGAACAGCCUUCAGUGCUCUUGUUUCACUCAGGAAGAUUAAAUCCAGCUGUGGAUGGGCUGGACUUUACUGUAUGGUGUGCGAGUGCUAGAAGUAAAUGGUUUUUCAAAUCAUGAGCACGUCAAUAAAAUUGCAGUACCUCCGGAUUUGUUUCCAACCCUGACAAACUUGGUUAAUCAUCAGAGAUUAUGCCAGAGCUUAUUUUCAAAUGUAAUAAAUUUGCAGCUUUGUGACUACUAGAUCUUAAUUCCUGGUUUGUUGGAGUGCCUUGUGGUGCAGGGAAAUGUUCCCUCCAGAAUAGAGAGGGAACUGAAAUCUAAGUUUCAGUUGGCUGAAUUUGUCACAGAAGCCAGCCAGUAUCAGAAUCAGGUUUAAUAUCACUGGCAUACAUUGGAAAAUUUGAUAACUUUGCAGCAGCAGUACAAUGCAAUACAUGAUAAUAGAAAGAAAAAAAAACUGAAUUACAGUAAUAUAUGUACCUACAGUAAUUCAUAGUUCUCUUUUUUUUACUCUCUCUCUCUCCUAUGUGUAUGUACAAAGCUACUCAAGCUCUGUCAGACUGCAUGGGGAUUGUGAGUGAACAGACCUUUUCAAGUCCAGCCACAAAUUCUCAAUUGGACUAAGUUCUGGACUCUGACUUGGCCACUCCAGGACAUUAACUUUGUUUUUAAGCCAUUCCUAUCUAGCUUUGGCUUUGUGCUUGGGCUCAUUGUCUUGCUGGAAAACAAAUCUCCCAAGUCACAGUUGAUUUGCAGACUGCAGCAGGUUUUCCUCCAGGAUUUCCCUGUAUUUUGCUGUA